rnacentral:rRNA from 1 species
CACGUAGGGCGCGAGCGUUGUCCGGAAUUAUUGGGCGUAAAGAGCUCGUAGGCGGCCUGUUGCGUCCGCUGUGAAAGCCCGGGGCUUAACCCCGGGUCGGCAGUGGAUACGGGGCAGGCUAGAGGUAGGUAGGGGGAGAAUGGAAUUCCCGGUGUAGCGGUGAAAUGCGCAGAUAUCGGGAGGAACACCGGUGGCGAAGGCGGUUCUCUGGGCCUUACCUGACGCUGAGGAGCGAAAGCGUGGGGGAGCGAAACAGG